CACGUAGGGCGCGAGCGUUGUCCGGAAUUAUUGGGCGUAAAGAGCUCGUAGGCGGCCUGUUGCGUCCGCUGUGAAAGCCCGGGGCUUAACCCCGGGUCGGCAGUGGAUACGGGCAGGCUAGAGGUAGGUAGGGAGAAUGGAAUUCCGUGGUAGCGGUGAAAUGCGCAGAUAUCGGGAGGAACACCGGUGGCGAAGGCGGUCUCUGGGCCUUACCUGACGCUGAGGAGCGAAGCGUGGGGAGCG
rnacentral:rRNA from 1 species